CAUCUGUUUCCUUAACCUACCACUUAAAAGCAUUACAUUCUGCCAAUGUUUUGGAUGUAUGGUUACUUGACCCAGGUUAUGGAAACCUUUGAUAGAGUAUGGAUUCAUUUCAGUGAGGUUGAAUGUAAGUUUGUAAUCCAUGUAUGGUGACUUGACCAAGUUAUGGAUGCCUGGGAUAGAAAUGUUACUGUAAACAAACAGACUGUAUGCAAAACGUUUGAUUUAUGUUUCUCAUCAAAACAUAUAUAAAUCAUGUAGAACUCUUACAGCUUUGAGGGAUGUUAAAUCUAUAAGUUUCAGUCAUUUUAAGAAGUAAGAAAUAAGUUAUGUUUUGUCUGGAACACCGCCCACUAUGAACGCGUCAUCACCCACGUGGGGAAGAAGAACGUUGCCAUUUUGCACUUGUGUUGAAUGCGUGUGGACCUGAGGAGUUAUCUUUCAAGUUUUUUCUGUAGGUAUAGGUAAUUGGUGUUGAGACGGUUGGGUUGAGACGGGCUUCUGCUUCAAGCAUUGUUCUACGGCUCUGUAGAAAUGUGAUGUGGCAGUGUAAGGGGUGUUCCGUUGCAGUAGCUAGUAGGUCUUUACUUCUUAAUCAUUAUAAACUCAAGCAUCCACAUUUUGGGCGCACCAUCCACUAUCCAUGUACAUUUAAGACUUGGAAUGCUUUAAUUGUACACCAAAGUAGAGUUCAUUCAACACAAGUUAGUCAGACUCAAAAAGAGUUGGCUACUUUCAGCUGUCACUUAUGUAGAUGCAAAAAUCUAUCUAAUGAAAGGGAAUACUUUAUUCAUAUCAACAUACAUCUGAGGAGAAAUGAAAUUGUCUCUGACAUGUUUGUUGGCUGUACUUUUCAAACCAAUAUUUAUAGAACGUUUAUGUCUCAUAAGAGAAGCCGACACACACCUCAUAACCUAACUGAUUUUUUUCCUGGUAUUGUGUUAACAACUACAUUAGCAUCACCAUCAUUACAUGAUUCUUCAGCUGAUUGCCAGGAUGAGGAGUUUGUGGAAGAGGAAGUUUCGGUUGCACCCCUAGGUUUGGAAGACCAAUACAGACCAAUUUAUAUAUUUUAAAUAUAAGAUCAUUAGAAAAUGAAGUAAUCAAAUGAUUGUCUUAUUUUUAUUUUCAGAUAAAUGCAGAAUUUAAGCACAUUACCACCGGGCCCCUGCAAUCCAGAUUUCUGUCACAGCUGGAUGUCCGAUCUGACAAACUUCUAAAGCUGUUCGAAAAACAAGGAGGACAGAUAGGCAAGCGUCUUGAGAGAACUUUGGCCCCCAUGACUCGAGACGAUGACGUUGAUGCAGGGCGGGAAUGUGUUCUCAAGUGGCUGUGUGUGUACCUCAACGAAGACCCAGCAAAUCUUGUCAGGGAGUUUGUGGCAGAGGACGAAGCCGCCAUCAAAGAAUCGAUUGAGGACACCACAGUGGGAAUAUUUGUCGUGAAAAAUGAUGCAACCAGUGGUCCAGAGGACGUGGGGAUUGUCCUGGAAGGCCUGCAGAUAAUUCAAGGACUGGACAACGCUGCAUUAGCUGCUGCCAUAUUGUUUGGCCUAAUGUAUGUAUUGAACCUUUUUAUUUUAUUAUUUUAUUAGAAUUUUAUGCAAAGUAAAAAAAAACAUAAUGCAACCUAAAAUGUUGUUUUGGGAUUUCAGUGUUAAAAAUGUCUAGUGUUUUCCAAAAAUGUCCAAACUAUUGCUAUUUGAAGGUGGAGUCAGCGAUAAAAGGGGAAUUCUUGUUGUCAAAAUCAGUGAAUAUCUCAUGAUCCACUACCUGUCCGUACUUAUGUGCUAUAAAUCCUUUGUUAGUGCUCAGCCUAGGCUCUGUAAACCAAGGACCUAUGGACAUGCAAUUUGUAGGCAGGACAAGCAUUCUCCAGAGUCAGUUCUAAGUUACACAUGCCUAACACUGGCUGUGCUAUUUUAUUUUAUUUUCAUUUUAAUCAAGCAAAGUAAUGGGAUUUCAGUGUUAAAUGUUGUAUUGGGAUUUCAAGCUUUGGGAUUUCAGUGUUAAAUGUAGUAUUUGAAAGAAAUACAAUAAAAAGUUGGUUAUUUGUGCCUUAUUUAGUCUCAUA